GGGGUCGCUGGGAAAUACAAGUUUUUUUCUCUUUAUUACGGUAAAAACACAAGUUUUUUUAUUAAUAAUGUCAAAAAUUCGUGAUACACACACGUAUCGACAAAAGUAUUCGCUUUUUAUGAGUGUUUUGUGCGGAUAAAUCAAGAAAAUAAAUCAGUGAGCGAAGAUCAGACCGGUCACGCGUCGAUUUCCGAUUCCACUGCUCUCGUGGUGGGCUCAUGGGAUUUCCUUUUUUCACUAUCGGAUGCCAGGACGCCGUUGGUUGGACACACUGCCAUUACUGGUGCAAAUCAGGUUAGACUAGGACCACUGCUGUUCAAGAUUGGCAGAAAUUAUUGUGCUACUUGCCAGCUGACAGAAACAAGCGAAAACUACCAAGUGGGUGAAAAUGUUAAAGUGCAUCUACAAAUUCAAUAAGCUAGGGAAACAUUUUUCGUGAAUUUGAAAAGUCCAGUGAAAUUCCUAGUUUUCAUUUCACUUCCAAAUUUAGUUGGACUAUUCAGGGGCCCAUUAAAAAUUGAAAUAAGUAAAAUUGUUAGCCAGUAUAUGAGAUUAGAGGGGAAAUAUCGCCAAAUUUCUUGGGUAAGUAAAAAUUCAUCGUGAGUGAUAUUAAAUAUUCUGGUUUUCUGGAAAUUCUAGUCGCCAAGUGAAUAGUGAUAUGCAUGUGAUAAUUUUACUGAUAUAUUUUAA